AUUGAACGUUGGCGGCAGGCCUAAAACAUGCAAGUCGAACGGUAACAGCGGAAGCUUGCUUCCGGCUGACGAGUGGCGGACGGGUGAGUAACACGUAGGAAUCUACCUAGUAGUGGGGGACAACCCGGGGAAACCCGGGCUAAUACCGCAUACGCUCUACGGAGGAAAGCAGGGGAUCUUCGGACCUUGCGCUAUUGGAGGAGCCUGCGUCGGAUUAGCUAGUUGGUGGGGUAAAGGCCUACCAAGGCGACGANCCGUAGCUGGUCUGAGAGGACGACCAGCCACACUGGGACUGAGACACGGCCCAGACUCCUAUGGGAGGGCAGCAGUGGGGAAUAUUGGACAAUGGGCGAAAGCCUGAUCCAGCGAUGCCGCGUGUGUGAAGAAGGCCUGCGGGUUGUAAAGCACUUUC
rnacentral:rRNA from 1 species